rnacentral:misc_RNA from 1 species
GAUGAAGAACGCAGCGAAAUGCGAUAAGUAAUGUGAAUUGCAGAAUUCAGUGAAUCAUCGAAUCUUUGAACGCACAUUGCGCCCGCCAGUAUUCUGGCGGGCAUGCCUGUUCGAGCGUCAUUUCAACCAUCAAGCCCCCGGCUUGUGUUGGGGACCUGCGGCUGCCGCAGGCCCUGAAAACCAGUGGCGGGCUCGCUAGUCACUCCGAGCGUAGUAGAUUUCAUCUCGCUCAGGGCGUGCUGCGGGUUCCGGCCGUUAAACCACCUUCAUAACCCAAGGUUGACCUCGGAUCAGGUAGGAAGACCCGCUGAACUUAAGCAUAUCAAUAAGCGGAGGA